rnacentral:rRNA from 1 species
GAUGAACGCUAGCGGCAGGCCUAAUACAUGCAAGUCGAACGGUGUCUUCGGACAUAGUGGCGCACGGGUGCGUAACACGUAUGCAACCUACCUUACAUUGGGGGAUAGCCUUUCGAAAGGGAGAUUAAUACCGCAUAAGACAGUAGCUGGGCAUCCAGCAGCUGUUAAAGAUUUAUCGAUGUAAGCUGGGCAUGCGUCCAAUUAGCUAGUUGGUGAGGUAACGGCUCACCAAGGCAAUGAUUGGUAGGGGAACUGAGAGGUGAAUCCCCCACACGGGCACUGAGGUACGGGCCAGACUCCGCCGGGAGGCAGCAGUAGGGAAUAUUGGGCAAUGGACGCAAGUCUGACCCAGCCAUGCCGCGUGCAGGAUGAAGGCGUUAUGCGUUGUAAACUGCUUUUAUACAGGAAGAAACGACUCUUGCGAGAGGCAUUGACGGUACUGUAUGAAUAAGCACCGGCUAACUCCGUGCCAGCCGCCGCCGUAAUAC